CACCGUGGGCGGCUGGUAGUUGAUGCCGACCUGUCUCACACACAUCGCGCACACACACACACACACACACACACACACACACACCAAGCGAGCCGCAUGAGUUAAGGUCUGAGGAAGGAGUGAACAAGGUAGUCCUGAGGGAAGGAAGGGAGGAGCCACAGCUUACCUGAGGGGCGGGGUAGAUGGAGAAUUCCAGUUUGCUCUUCUUGCCGUAGUCCACAGAGAGUCGCUCCAUCAGGAGGGAGGUGAAGCCAGAGCCGGUGCCGCCGCCGAAGGAGUGGAAGAUGAGGAAGCCCUGGAGACCCGUGCACUGAUCGGCCAGCUUCCUGAUGCGGUCCAGUACAAGGUCAACGAUUUCCUUCCCGAUGGUGUAGUGGCCGCGGGCAUAGUUGUUGGCGGCGUCCUCCUUCCCGGUGAUGAGCUGCUCGGGGUGGAACAGUUGGCGGAUUGAAAAAAAAAGGAAAAAGGAAAAGAAAGACACUCACCGACCACAGUGGGCUCCAGAUCCACAAAAACAGCGCGGGGGACGUGCUUGCCGGCGCCGGUUUCACUGAAGAAUGUGUUGAAGGAAUCGUCGCCGCCGCCGAUGGUCUUGUCUGAGGGCAUGGAGCCAUCGGGCUGGAUGCCGUGCUCCAGGCAGUACAGCUCCCAGCAGGCAUUGCCGAUCUGCACGCCCGCCUGCCCGAUGUGCACGCUGAUACAUUCACGCUAGGAAGUAAGAGAAUAAGGUCUCAGUUUCGCAGGUACAACACUCCACGGUUUGUGUUUGAGGCAAGUUAAGAGAUAGGAGGGAGAAAAAGGCGGAUCAGGAGUGAUUUGAGUGAAAUAGUGGAGGCUGAAAAUAUAUAUAACUAAGUGGACAGUGAAUACUCUAGGGAGGAAAGGAUUAAAACCUACGCAAAUAAUGGAGGCUGAAAAGAUAUGUAACUACGAGGAUGAUCAAUAAUCUAGUAGGGAAGACUGAAACCUAUGGAAAUAUAAGCAAUAUAAAAGG